rnacentral:rRNA from 1 species
UGAGGAAUAUUGGGCAAUGGGGGCAACCCUGACCCAGCCAUGCCGCGUGAGUGAAGAAGGUUUUCGGAUUGUAAAGCUCUUUCGGAUGUGAAGAUAAUGACGGUAGCAUCUAAAGAAGCCCCGGCAAACUUCGUGCCAGCAGCCGCGGUAAUACGAAGGGGGCGAGCGUUGUUCGGAAUUACUGGGCGUAAAGGGAGUGUAGGUGGACAGAUAAGAUAGGGGUGAAAUCCCGGAGCUCAACUUCGGAAUUGCCUUUAUAACUAUUAGUCUAGAAUUAUAGAGAGGAUAGUGGAAUACCCAGUGUAGAGGUGAAAUUCGUAGAUAUUGGGUAGAACACCGGUGGCGAAGGCGACUAUCUGGCUAUAUAUUGACACUGAGGCUCGAAAGCAUGGGGAUCAAACA